UACGUAGGGGGCAAGCGUUGUCCGGAAUCAUUGGGCGUAAAGCGCGUGUAGGCGGCUUGGUAAGUCUGCUCUGAAAGCCCGGGGCUCAACCCCGGGAGGCGGGUGGAUACUGCUGAGCUCGAGUCCGGAAGAGGCGAGUGGAAUUCCUGGUGUAGCGGUGAAAUGCGCAGAUAUCAGGAGGAACACCAAUGGCGAAGGCAGCUUGCUGGGACGGUACUGACGCUAAGGCGCGAAAGCGUGGGGAGCGAACAGG
rnacentral:rRNA from 1 species